GACGAACGCUGGCGGCGUGCUUAACACAUGCAAGUCGAGCGGUAAGGCCCUUUCGGGGGUACACGAGCGGCGAACGGGUGAGUAACACGUGGGUGACCUGCCCUUAGCUCUGGGAUAAGCCUGGGAAACUGGGUCUAAUACCGGAUAUGACUCCAUGACGCAUGUUGUGGGGUGGAAAGCCUUGUGCGGCUAGGGAUGGGCCCGCGGCCUAUCAGCUUGUUGGUGGGGUGANGGGCCUACCAAGGCGACGACGGGUAGCCGGCCUGAGAGGGCGACCGGCCACACUGGGACUGAGACACGGCCCAGACUCCUACGGGAGGCAGCAGUGGGGAAUCUUGCGCAAUGGGCGAAAGCCUGACGCAGCGGCGCCGCGUGGGGAUGACGGCCUGGU
rnacentral:rRNA from 1 species